AGAGCAAAGAGCGCAAGAUUGGAAAAAGGCGCCAAGAUCAAGAUAGGAGCUUCGUCUAGCCGAAGUCGACGGUUUUUCAGUUACAGCCUAAAUAACCCAUAAUUCUGCUGACGGGACAGAACUUUUAAGUCGCACACUCCCCCCAUUUAUAUAUUAAUUGUUUUUAACUUACCUGAAUGUUCUCCCCACUCCGCGGCCACCAGCCGAACACCCCAGCGUCUCCUCUCAGCCAUUUAUCUCCACAAAACCCCGUUUUUUAACAAAAUUGUCUCCAGUUGCAAGCUUUGGAAAAAAGUUUGUCCUGUGAACAUAUGCUGACCUCAGGCUCCAGAAGGACGAUUUGGACGGGGAAGGCCGAGACCAUGUGAAAUACUUAGAAACCCAAGUUGUUAAAUUUGCGAUGAGUGGGAUCCAUUACCUCCUGGAUGUCGGUGUUCAGCUGAAAGAUCUGCCCCUCCCCCUCCACCUGGCGGACGCAAAUCUUGCAGUUGACUGGAUGGAAGGCCGCUGUGAGGGCAGAGGAUGAGUCUGUGAUGUCACCACGGAGAUGCCGGCAGCUGCGGCGGUAUGCCAGCACACCCACACACAGCAGCAGCAUGCCGCAAAGGAGGAGUGCCCCCACCAG